UAUCGGUGCUGUAUGGUAAUUACAAAAACCUAAUUUGUCACAAACGCUAAAACAGACUCACAAUCAAUCACAAACGAUUUACAAACGAAAUAUAUUUUGAAAAAGUGAAAAUAAUCAUAUUUUAUAAUUUUUGUCGGCUAGCUUAUUCAUGUAGGUGUUUUUAGAUAUGUGGAUGAUAUUUUCACGAUCAUCCCACUGAGGGGUGUUGAUGAAAUUGGGUCGUCCUUUAAUGAUUAUCACCUGAGAUUGAAAUUUACGCAUGAAAUUGAAAAGGAUAACGCGAUUAAUUUUUUGAACACUAAUGUGAUUAGACAUAAUGGUAUACUGUUAACUGAUCGGUUUAUGAAACCCACUUGCUCGGGUAGAUAAUUAUAUCAUUCCAAUCAUCCUUUUAAAUACAAAAAGAAUACUAUUUUAGUCUUGUACAUCAUGCAAUUUUAUUAUCAGACGACCGUUUUCAUCAAAAACAUCUCUAAGGUUAAAUUUGCUUAUGACACGAAAUAAUGACGAUCGAAUUGUGGAUAUAACGAUAAUUCAAAUAGUACAAAAUCUGACUAUAUUAUACAACAUUACCACAGUAUAUGUAUAACCAGUAGCGUCACUCAAGAAAAAUAACGUCGGAGAAAUGCUACGGCGCAUGCGUUGGAUUACUAUCCACAAUAUGGUGUACAGUGAGUUGUAAACACAUUUUAGGUCUGAAAAUAUUUUAAAAAACAUUGUUAUAAUAAUGGAACGUCGCGUAGUUGUUGGUGGUUUCACGUGCGCAAUGCAAGAUUGCAAUAAAAAUUCCGGCUCCAGUCGUCACUUGAGCUUUUUUCGCUUUCCAUCUCAUCCAGAAAGGUGACUGAAUUCCUGUUCAAUUAUUCAACACAUACCUAUCCACAAAAUGGAGCUUAUCUUAUAAGUAUUCAUACGUAUUCAUAAUAACAAGACAGAAAUCAAUUUAAGUACAUUAAACAGAUAAACAAUAAUACACCUGAUAAUAUAAAACAAAUUAGUCUUUUAUAACCAAUUGUAAAUUACAUAGAAUUGUUAUAUACAUUUAUUUAUU